rnacentral:lncRNA from 1 species
GUGCGAACGAGAGAAGGAACCAAGGGAACCAAAACCCUAAACAACCUAAAAUCAUCAAAUUGAAAGGGGAAUCGAGGGCUGAUCGAAUGCAUGAGUCUAGAUACCCUUUAAUCUAAGUGUAUUGAUCAUAAGGAACGUGUCAAGGAGAGCUCAAGCAUAGGAGGAUAACGGGUCAAGAUAAGGCAAGGUGACAAAUACACUUAUUGGAAUACUCGAGGUAAGUGAUUUCUAUAAUCACUUCUUUAGUUGUUUAAGUAAUAUAAUGUUUUAAUUAUUAAGUUCAUAUGAAGUUGAGGUUAAAUCAAUGGAUUAUUUUGAUAAAUGCACGAAUGGGUCGAAUAAUUCAUAGAUGAAUAACAAGCCGAAUACGUAUAAGUUAAGGAAUUCCUUAACUCGGAUGUUGGACUUCAAGAUCACGUGAUAGAAUAUUAAAUUACAAUCAUAUAGGAAGAAACGUGACGCAAAACGGACGAAAAAUGAGAGAGUUAUGUCCGUUUCAGUAAGGAUUAAUGGCUAGGAAAAGUGCAGAGUUGACACGGCCGGGUGGUGAACUGACACGGCCGGGUGAAGGUUCUGUCAAAAAUAUUAUUUAUGUGAUUUAUGCGCCGUAGGCUUCGGUAUAUUAUCCGUGAACUACGACGGGCCUCCCAAACAUGAUUUCGAGUGUUUCCUUGACGAUUAUAAGUUGUAAACCCAAGUCUAAGCCUCAUGUAAUUUAUAUAAGAGUGUGAUAGAUGUAUGUAAUGAAGUUGGACAUGUAUUACAUGUAAAUGUAUACAAAAAUACGUACGGAACACGUAGGUAUGAAUACAUGAUUGUAGGUAUGAUUAAAUGUAUAUUAGGUAUGUAGAUGUGUAUGAUUGUAAGUUUGUAUGUGUGCAAGUAUGUGCGAAUGCAUGAUUCGAUGCAUUUGAGAAUUAGCGUUACUAAUAAUGCCCUUGGGUUUGGAAUAUAAGUUGAUUGGAUGCAUUUAAAUGGUUAACGUCCUUUUUAUGAAGAUGUAGUAAAUGAAUAUGUUGAGAUUACGGGUUUGGCUAACCAAGUUAUUAUUGAGUAUGUUUGAAAGUGCAGGUGAUGAAUGUCGGACUUUCGAAGUGUUGAUAUAAUAAUGAAACGGUUGAAUGUUGAAAGGAUAAUCGGACUGAAGUAACUUAUGCGGUUAGAAUAUGCUAUGGACGUUUUAGUUUAUACAAUAUUAUAUGUUUGGUCGUCACCAUCUACUAACAGGUUCGUUGUAUGAGAGUAUAUGUCAUACCCAUUUAAUUGGGUAAUCGAAUGCGUAAGAAAAAUGAAAGUACGCACACGAAUGGAACUAAAAUGACGGUUUUAUAAGCAAACAAGUAUAACGACUAACUUUUUAAAGCUUUGUUGUUGAAUGUAGGUAAAUCCUCAAUUUUGGCGACUUGGAGAAUCGGAGCGAGCGCGUGUUCGUGUUAUGCGAUACCAAACGCUUCCGCUAGUUUGUUCAAAUGUUUUUGACCCAAAAUUUGUUGUAUUGGUUUUUAGUAGUAUCUUGUUGAACGAAUUGUAGAAUUGUAUCUAGUUUGUUUAUGUUUAAAACAGGGGUAUGCUCGUUUUAUGGACGGGUCAUGCCCGAUUUUUUUGUUAAAUUAUAGUUUGAUAAUAUCACAUUUAGGAAGGUGAAAUUUUGGGCGUAACAAGUUGGUAUCAGAGCCUAGGUUUGAGGGAUUCGAGCAAGAGUAUCAGUGCUUGAACUCAAACCGAUGACUCGUGCAAAAGUGUGCUCGCUCCGAGAUCGCCAAUGAGGCCAAGAGCACGCGGGUUAUGUGAAGGGUAAGCGCAAUUGUUCGGAAGGAUGAUCCGUGAAUGCGGUCUAGGACCGGCAUCAAGGCAAGUAAUAAGACGAAUUGACCCCUGGUGAGCUUGAUGAAUGGACACGCAAUGUUACUAAUCAGAAAGGAAGGAUCAUCGUAAGGUAUGGAUAACGAAUCAAUGGAAUUUACUUCCGUCAGGUAUGUAUAAAAAGAAGUGUAACUUUAAUAGAGGUUAGUACUCGACUAGAAAUGGAUGUGUCAGAAUAGAAUGUAUGUAUAUAUACAAACCGUAAUGCAAAAUGUGGAGUGAAUUUCAAAAUGUUCGUAAUGAUCGUCGGGUAGUAUUGAACUUGAAUGCUCGUAACUGUGGAAAUUCUGAUAGAAUAUAAGAGACGAUAAGUAUCCUUAAGAAAUGCUAACUUUGAUGCUCGGCUUGUUGGCCAUGUUCAUUUGAACAAGACAUUGUAGAAAAGAUACGCAUGGCAUAAAUAACAAUAAUAACCAUGGAAAUAAUGCUUAGUCUUCGUGAUUUAAGUAUGGAUAAGUAAGUUUAAGAAGGGACGUUGGUAACGGGAUGAUAGGGUUUGCUCGUGGUGAACAUAAUGAAAUAAUGUAUAUGAUAUAAUGAUAGAAUGAAACAAAUCAUAGAAAGUGAAAACGACACUAAUAAGAGCUCUGGAUCAGAUUAUGAGUUUUAUGUGAUUAUGAAAAUAAAUUACAUAAUUUAAGAACGUAAGGACAAUGCGUACAAUCAUGUUUAGGUAUGAAACAAACUUUUGACCAAGAUCCCGAAUGUAUUCAUGUUGUAAUAAGCAUCGUGAAUGAAUAGAUGGAAAGGUAAGAGUAGUAUUGGUCUACUAAGAAUAAGAAAGGUUUCGGGGACGAAACCUUCUUUAAGGGGGUAGACUUGUAACACGCCAAAUUUCGUAAGAUAUAUUACAAUGUUUUAAUCGCAAUAUUUGACUUUCAGAAAUGAUAAACAUAGAUUUCUACUAUUAUUAAAGUUUUAUAAACUAUGGAAAGUUUAAAGCAUAUGUGCACAUAAAGUUAACCAAGUUAGUAUGUGAAAUGAAAUAAGUGGCAUGUUUUAAAAGAUAGAGGGGUUAAAAUGGAAAUAUGCUAUAAAUAAACACUUGACAAAAAUUAGUCAGUGUUUGGUCUGGGCGUGCGAACGAGAGAAGGAACCAAGGGAACCAAAACCCUAAACAACCUAAAAUCAUCAAAUUGAAAGGGGAAUCGAGGGCUGAUCGAAUGCAUGAGUCUAGAUACCCUUUAAUCUAAGUGUAUUGAUCAUAAGGUGAGUUCAAUUUUCUGUUUUAAUGCUUCAUGAUUUAGUGGGUGUUGAACAAUUUGUGAAAAUUGUAUGAAAUCGAGUUGUAUGUGAAUUAGUAUCAUCAUGUAGAACGAGAAUCUUGCUCGAAUUUGAUGAAAUUGAAGAACUUGAGUGAAACCCAUUUUUGUUCUAGUGGUAUGUAGUGAUUUUAUGAUAGUGAAAGUUAUUUGAAAUUGAAGCAUGAAUGUAUAAACAGUAGAGUGUUGUUAGAUGAACUUGAUUGUAGACUAAGAAACUAUGUGAAACUAGGUUGAAUUGAUCAUUGUGAAAAGGACUAGUAGGUUAUGCAUAUCAUACAUGUACAUAGUGUUUAAAAUGUCAUACGCACACCAAGUGUUCGACUAAAUGCUUGAAUGAUAAAUUUGUAAUUUCCGAAUGAAUAUGAAUGUUGUAUGAUGAUAAACUAAUAAGAAUGUGCCUUAUAGUCUUGUACCGAAUACCAUGAUUAUGAUGCUUACAAGGUGUUUGAUAAAUGCCUACAAAGUUUGUGUAAAAUAGUUACUUUUGACAGCCUUAGAUAGUCAUCUUGUAAAGGCCGUAUCUCAUUCGUUAUUAGGAGUUAGACAACGAGCCUUAUAUCGUUGAAAAGGUUGUUUCGCAUAUUACAUUUUAUAUUUGGUCAUAAGAGGCUGAUUAUGAGAUUUAGUGGGUCAAAACAGCAUGAAAAGUUAGUAAAUUCGUUUUGACAGCAAGCUGUUUGGAAGCAUUUCAGCUUCUGUGCUGAUUUUGUAAAAAUCAUAUAAAAUCAUAGGAAUGUCCGAUUUUUACGAUCUUUAUAUGCUUAGAAAGAUCUCUGAGUGUAGAUCAUUUCAUAUUUGAACAUGAAGAACUGAAUCAGAAGAUAAAUGGGUUAAAAUGUGUCGUGAACAGCUGCUGCGCAGAAAGUUGCUGCACAUUUUUAGUAUAAAUAUUAAGUAAAAAUAGUUGUAUUGUUAUGCACACUUGUAUGAAUCAUGAACUACUGAUUUAAAUAAAUUAUUAGUAAGUUAUUUGAUUGUUUUAAGUGUCUAAAACACUUACCAACUAGUCUAUGCAUAUGAUUGCACCAACGGGUCGAAACGGGUUGUUGAUAGAAAAUAGUAGAAUGGAUGUGUAAAAACCAAGGUGUUAAGAAAUGGUACGAAAUGUUUAAUGUAUGAAACAAGUUGCCUAACUUAGAGAAUGUUAUCAUUCUAAGUAUGGAAUUUUGAAAGAAUAAUGAACAUGAUGUAAAUACAUAAUUAUGCAUGCUAGAAGCUCAUGUAUGACUUUUGUGAUGAUGGAAUGAUAAAUUGUUAGAUUGAUUAGCAUUGUAGUAUUAUGAUACAUGUUGAACUCGUUAAGCGAUUGACACGUGAAUAGAAGUGUGAUUAGUGAUGCGUAUGAUUACGUAUACUAACUAUUGAAUGGAUGUAAUGGAAUGAGAUAAUAGGAACGUGUCAAGGAGAGCUCAAGCAUAGGAGGAUAACGGGUCAAGAUAAGGCAAGGUGACAAAUACACUUAUUGGAAUACUCGAGGUGAUGAAUGUCGGACUUUCGAAGUGUUGAUAUAAUAAUGAAACGGUUGAAUGUUGAAAGGAUAAUCGGACUGAAGUAACUUAUGCGGUAAAUCCUCAAUUUUGGCGACUUGGAGAAUCGGAGCGAGCGCGUGUUCGUGUUAUGCGAUACCAAACGCUUCCGCUAGUUUGUUCAAAUGUUUUUGACCCAAAAUUUGUUGUAUUGGUUUUUAGUAGUAUCUUGUUGAACGAAUUGUAGAAUUGUAUCUAGUUUGUUUAUGUUUAAAACAGGGGUAUGCUCGUU